UACGGAGGGUGCGAGCGUUGUCCGGAAUCAUUGGGCGUAAAGGGCGCGUAGGUGGCUGGGCAAGCGUGCGGUGAAAGCUCGGGGCUCAACCCCGAGUCGGCCGUGCGAACUGCCGAGCUUGAGCACUGUAGAGGCAGGCGGAGUUCCGGGUGUAGCGGUGGAAUGCGUAGAGAUCCGGAAGAACACCAACGGCGAAAGCACUCUGCUGGGCCGACACUGACACUGAGAGACGAAAGCUAGGGGAGCAAAUGGG
rnacentral:rRNA from 1 species